rnacentral:rRNA from 2 species
GUCGAGCGAAUGGAUUGAGAGCUUGCUCUCAAGAAGUUAGCGGCGGACGGGUGAGUAACACGUGGGUAACCUGCCCAUAAGACUGGGAUAACUCCGGGAAACCGGGGCUAAUACCGGAUAAUAUUUUGAACUGCAUGGUUCGAAAUUGAAAGGCGGCUUCGGCUGUCACUUAUGGAUGGACCCGCGUCGCAUUAGCUAGUUGGUGAGGUAACGGCUCACCAAGGCAACGAUGCGUAGCCGACCUGAGAGGGUGAUCGGCCACACUGGGACUGAGACACGGCCCAGACUCCUACGGGAGGCAGCAGUAGGGAAUCUUCCGCAAUGGACGAAAGUCUGACGGAGCAACGCCGCGUGAGUGAUGAAGGCUUUCGGGUCGUAAAACUCUGUUGUUAGGGAAGAACAAGUGCUAGUUGAAUAAGCUGGCACCUUGACGGUACCUAACCAGAAAGCCACGGCUAACUACGUGCCAGCAGCCGCGGUAAUACGUAGGUGGCAAGCGUUAUCCGGAAUUAUUGGGCGUAAAGCGCGCGCAGGUGGUUUCUUAAGUCUGAUGUGAAAGCCCACGGCUCAACCGUGGAGGGUCAUUGGAAACUGGGAGACUUGAGUGCAGAAGAGGAAAGUGGAAUUCCAUGUGUAGCGGUGAAAUGCGUAGAGAUAUGGAGGAACACCAGUGGCGAAGGCGACUUUCUGGUCUGUAACUGACACUGAGGCGCGAA